AAAGAAACCAACAGGGAUUGCCCUAGUAACGGCGAGUGAAGCGGCAACAGCUCAAAUUUGAAAUCUGGCGCAAGCCCGAGUUGUAAUUUGUAGAGGAUGUUUCUGGCGACGUGCCUUCCGAGUUCCCUGGAACGGGACGCCAUAGAGGGUGAGAGCCCCGUACGGUUGGAUGCCUAGCCUCUGUGAAACUCCUUCGACGAGUCGAGUAGUUUGGGAAUGCUGCUCUAAAUGGGAGGUAUACGUCUUCUAAAGCUAAAUACCGGCCAGAGACCGAUAGCGCACAAGUAGAGUGAUCGAAAGAUGAAAAGCACUUUGAAAAGAGGGUUAAAAAGUACGUGAAAUUGUUGAAAGGGAAGCGUUCAUGACCAGACUUGGGCAGGUUGAUCAUCCGUGGUUCUCCGCGGUGCACUCUGCCUGCCCAGGCCAGCAUCAGUUCGCCCCGGGGGAUAAAGGCUUUGGGAAUGUGGCUCCCUCGGGAGUGUUAUAGCCCACUGUGUAAUACCCUGGGGUGGACUGAGGUUCGCGCUCUGCAAGGAUGCUGGCGUAAUGGUCAUCAACGACCCGUCUUGAAACACGGACCAAGGAGUCGUCUUCGUAUGCGAGUGUUCGGGUGUCAAACCCCUACGCGUAAUGAAAGUGAACGUAGGAGAGAGCUUCGGCGCAUCUCCGACCGAUCCUGAUGUUCUCGGAUGGAUUUGAGUAAGAGCAUACGGGGCCGGACCCGAAAGAAGGUGAACUAUGCCUGUAUAGGGUGAAGCCAGAGGAAACUCUGGUGGAGGCUCGCAGCGGUUCUGACGUGCAAAUCGAUCGUCAAAUAUGGGCAUGGGGGCGAAAGACUAAUCGAACCUUCUAGUAGCUGGUUUCCGCCGAAGUUUCCCUCAGGAUAGCAGUAUUGAACUCAGUUUUAUGAGGUAAAGCGAAUGAUUAGGGACCCGGGGGCUAUAUAUUGCCUUCAUCCAUUCUCAAACUUUAAAUAUGUAAGAAGCUCUUGUUGCUUAAUUGAACGUGAGCAUUCGAAUGUAUCAAU
rnacentral:rRNA from 1 species